rnacentral:rRNA from 1 species
CCUACGGGAGGCAGCAGUGAGGAAUAUUGGUCAAUGGCCGGAAGGCUGAACCAGCCAUGCCGCGUGAAGGUCAGUGCCCUAUGGGCGUUAAACUUCUUUUGUGCGGGAGCAAUAAUGGUCACGUGUGGCCAGACGAGAGUACCGUACGAAUAAGCAUCGGCUAACUCCGUGCCAGCAGCCGCGGUAAUAAGGGGGAUGCAAGCGUUAUCCGGAUUUAUUGGGUUUAAAGGGUGCGUAGGCUGUGAGGUAAGUCAGCGGGGAAAUGCCCCCGCUCAACGGGGUGAAGUGCCAUUGAUACUGCCUUGCUGGAAUGCGGAUGCCGUGGGAGGAAUGUGUGGUGUAGCGGUGAAAUGCAUAGAUAUCACACAGAACUCCGAUUGCGAAGGCAUCUCACGAAUCCGCGAUUGACGCUGAUGCACGAAAGCGUGGGUAUCAAACAGGAUUAGAUACCCGAGUAGUC